UUCUAUUGGAUUCUGGAAAUAUGCAUUCAUUCAAAAUGUGCCUGAUCACUUGCUAAGAAAAAAAUGCAAAAACAUAUAUGCAAGAAUUAACUGAAAUUAGAUUUUGUACUUAUACCAGCAGCUGCAGAAGAACCUUAUCUGAGCUCUAGCAAUCCAGCCAAGGAACUGAAAUUACACAAAUGACUAAUGCAAAUAACUUCCUUAGAUGUCUUCAGCUCACAGUCAGUCCUACAGAGAUCAGACAACUGAAAAGAAGCUGUAUCUUCUCCUGUACGUUUUGAAAACAUGGAUAUUUUUACAC